UUACAAUGUAACACUUUAUAAUGCACGAAAGACUGGAAAGAGGAAAUGUCUUGUGCUUUCACAGAAGAACCAUUAAGUUCCAGUGAAGCUGGCAAGCAAUUGAGAUGAAUUGUAAAGCUUCAAAUCGUGUAGAUAUAUCACAAACCCUUUGCAUUUUAAAUACUGUUCUGGACUACUGGGAAAAGUAUUAAGCAUACUUUAGGGCAGAUAUAGGAAACUUUUCUGGGAACUAAAGG